rnacentral:sRNA from 1 species
UUAAUCCUCUUCCAAUCAGCUCCCCAUCUCGCCCUCUGGCGGCUCCGGACCACAGGCCGAGUUACUGUGAUUACCGGCAUGCUCCUAGACCGGCAUUGACAGUCCCCACGUGAGGGACCGCGGUGGGAGUCCUAAAUGGGGGAGGAGGGGACGGGCGGCACUGUGCAUCUGCUGUGCCUCGCGGCCUCCAGCGGGGUCCCCCUAUUCUGCAGGAGCAGUCGCGGCGGCACCCCCGCCCGUCAGCAGCUCCCGUUCUCUGUCAUCGGUUCCCUCAAUGGAGUCCACAUGUUUGGGCAGAAUCUGGAGGUGCAGCUGAGCUCUGCGAGGACCGAGAACACGACUGUGGUGUGGAAAAGCUUCCAUGACAGCAUCACCCUCAUUGUUCUGUCAUCUGAGGUGGGCAUCUCUGAGCUGAGGCUGGAGAGACUACUCCAAAUGGUGUUUGGAGCCAUGGUCCUUCUUGUGGGACUUGAAGAACUGACCAAUAUCCGCAACGUGGAGAGACUGAAGAAGGACUUGAGGGCUGGUCCCUUCUUCCUCUCCUAGGCCAGUUAUUGCCUCAUCGACAGCUUCCUAGGGGACUCGGAGCUCAUCGGGGACCUGACCCAGUGUGUGGACUGCGUGAUUCCUCCAGAGGGGUCCCUCUUGC